GCCGCGGGAGGUGAAGCGACCGGUGAUUGGUGCGCGCUCCUCAUUCACUCGGAGCACAAUGGACCGCGGGCGCGCGCACCAGUUCUCCAGCACCCGCCGCUCAGUGCCGCCGCGGGGUGACUCCUUUUGCCCCGGGGGAUCCCCUCGCCGCCCCGCGCCUGGAGACCUCGGGUUGGAGCUGUAGGCGUCGCCGAGACCCGGCGGUAGCCGGAGGAAGGGAGGAAAGAGAAGCUCUAAUCCCCAGCGUCUGUUCGCUUCCACAAAUAGAACCUUCUGUUGGAUGAAAUAAAAGCAAACACUAGGC